CUUGAUACCCAUGUGUCCUCUUCCACAACUGCUCAGUCUUACAAAAUCUGUGACCCAUGUACUUCUCCCCAGCAACACUCUGUGCUAAAGAUCACUGGCCUGUUUUCUCCUCCUCACCCUGCUGGGACAGCCUGGCUGCUGGGUUUUACAGACACUGCUCAGGAGGCACUUUGCUAAGGGGCUUUGCUUGUGGGACUUGCUAAGCCAAGGAUGCACAGGAGCUAGAGGGAAACAGGGAAACAAAGUAGAGCAAGAUGCACAUCCUGAGCAGCAGCAGCAGCAGCAGCAGCAGCAGCCCUCUCCAGGAAAGGAAGCCUGGAUGGAUUGUAUUGCACAUGGAUAGACUGAAAUGCUCAGCAGAUGAUUUUGCUUAAAUCUCAAAUGCAACCAUGGGAGCAUCUUCCCAAGAUCCUGAAUUAUGCCUGCUGCUAACCACACUCCAGGAGUUCUUGGCUGAGCACAUCCCUUUCUUACAGAGUUUGCUGGAAUGAAAUAGUGGCUGAUUGGAUGCUGGAAACUACAGCUCUUGUGUGAGCUAAUCCUCGGGAUCUCAGCAGCUCUAAGCAGACAGUGGGGGAAGGUCCCAUGCUUAUGACUCAUGCUACCAUUUUUCUCUCUCCUAUUGUUUUGCAAAUUCUCUGCUUAAUCUAAAAUCCAUUUCAACUAGAAACUUCCAGGCUCAGUGGAAAUUUGAAGAUAAUAUAUUCCAAACAAGUGAUGCUUCAUAAGGGUGUGGAUCUACAACCCUUGAAAUCAAUCUAAAUCUGGGCUGGCACUGCCCUGCCCUUGUCACUGGCCUCUUCUCCUUCCCAUGCUUGCAUGAUCCCACAGAGAGGAGAUCCAGAUGUGACCCAGCUGGAAACCAGGGCAGUGCCACCACGAGGAGCCACAGGGAGUGGGAGUGAUGGAGGACAUGUCACAAGAUGAAGUUGUGGCAAUCCAGAUUUAGACAAGCCAAAGUGGAGGUCUACCACUAAGAGUUAUUAAUCUUCCUGAAUGAGCCAUGUCUUAAAGGAAAUGGGUAUCCUGAGCUUUGGGUUUCAUUUUAAGGUAUUGAUUUAUGUCCCUAAAACAUUUUAAACCUGUACAUUAGCAGAAAAGUUAUCCUACAUAUACUGGUAAUAUAUUCUCUUAAUGGGAUACACAGCAAUGAAAUUUUGUCUCACUAGAUCUUUAAGAGCAGAUUCAAACUUCAAGGAUUAUGAGUUCAGGCAGGAUAAUGCCCUGAUGGCUGGCAGUAACACUUGGAAGCUGCUUUUGAUAAUAGGUAGGAUACCACAGUAGCCACACUCAACUCUAGGAAUCUUUUCUGCUUCAUUGCUUUAGCUUUGUUUAACAGCCCAUUUUUGAGUGGUAAAACAGUAGUAGAAAUGGCAAUAUAUUUAUGAAGACACGCUAAAUAAAAUUGUAUUGCUUUUACAAGGAAAAGCAAUAGAUUAUACCAAAGUUAUAACAAAAACCCUGUGCAUCUGUAAGAACAGUGAGAGAACUGCAAGACAGGAUUCCAUCUGCCUCCCAGGACAACUUUUCAUGCUGGGUACCCAUGGCAUGAGGCCAAACACACCUUCAGAAACAAAUGCACUAAGUGUCAGAUAUUAAAAUAUCACUUUUCAAUGCAAAGCAUUUCUAUUGGCUUACCACCCUCUUCCAGACAGGGAAAUUCCCACUAAAUCAUCAAUAAUACAUCCAGGCAGCCAUCAGUCCACCUGCUAAUGAGCAGUUCUAGCACACAGCACCUAUCCAGAGAAAUCAGGCCUGGAAGAUGAGAGCAUAGCCCUUAAUAAUUUACAAGACUCAUUAACCUUAUCCCAUAAGACAAACAAAAAGAAUGUGGUAUCUACUCAGAUUUCCAGACCAAACCAAGAUACAGUGUUUCAGAGGCCAUUAGGAUGUAUCAGUCAAUAAACACUCUCCAAAUGUUCUUCUGUGGAAUACCCUGGCAGACAAAGUACCAUCCAUCUCUAAAAGCCUGUAUUAUUAGGGACACAACAUCAGGAACCUUAAGAAACUUGCACUGCUGAAAAUGAGAUUGAAAAGGUUUGAAAAUUAUUCAAUAUGCCAAAUGCUAAACAAUCUUUCGAAUUUGCUAUUUUAAGUAGACAAAACCAGUCUGGUUCUGCAUAGAAUAAAUACCAGCCCUCUACAAAUGUCAAGUGUGCCCAGGGACAGAACUCACAUCCAACAUCAAAUACUCACUUUGGCAGCACCACACAGAACCAGGAGUGGGGGAAAAGACAGCCCAGAGUCUUGUCCUGGGACUAAACACUGCCCUGGCCAAGCAGGGCAUCCCUAUUCCCACAGACAUUCCUUACACAGGGAUUGGUACAAGUAUCUGGGAAGGGAUUAUGAUGAUGCAGUUUGGGCUGCAGUUUAUGAAAACCGACAAAAACAACCCUAACACAAAUUGCUUGGUUUUCGUGGUGUCUCCUGCUACAAACACACACCUUACUGCUAUAAAAUUGUUUUUGUCUCUGCACAAACACCCAGCAGCCAUGAGGGUUUGCCUCCAGAGGGAAGCUCUCCACUUACAUCUCCUCUUCUAUCAGAUCCCACACUCAGUUACCAUAUUCCUGUGCCUGCUUUGAAGUCCUCCUAAAGGAGAUAAUCUAAAUGCUGGAGGAGCUGGCUGGAACACCCAGUCAUGCUCUGUGGGAAAGGAGGAGGCCCUGUGUUCUUCCCUGACCCUGCUAAGCAGGUGUAGGAACAGGAGCUGGGAAGCUUUAGGUGCUCCACCUUGUUUCUGACUCCAUUUACAGGGAUCAUGGGGUUUUUUUCCAGGGAUUUUUUCCAGACAUUGUGUAUGAGCUGCUGUACCUUCCCUUCCCUCUCCACAUGCCCAGUGAACUCUCCCUUCCAGCUACAAAAUCAACAUGCAGAACUGCUCCAUGCUAUAGGCUAAAAGCACUUAAAACCCAGAUGUGCUUCUUAGAGCCCAUCCUAUCCCAUUCCUUCAAAAGCCAGGACACAAAGCCCCAUUUUACUGUCGAUCAUUCUGAAAUGGCAGCAAUUAAGGAACAUGCUAUUUCCCUAAUUACCAUUUCCUUUUUAGCAAAGCCCCUUUACUCACAGCAGCUUCUAUGGCAAGCAGUGAAGCAGAGCCCUGGGCUGCCUUGCCAAAGCCAAGCGUGUGUGACACUUGUUCUUUCCUAAAGCUCUGCCUUUCCACACCAACAGCCACCCCAGGGUGGGCCACAGCACAGGGACUGUUCAACUGCUUGGUGACAUUUUGGGACUACAAGGAGAAAAAACAGCACUUAAAAUAGAACAGAAGAACCAGGAAUUAAUAGAGACAAGGAAUAACAAAGUAACUAUAUAUUCCAUAAAGAGUGCAGAUAGAAAUUAUCAAAAGAAUAAUGGUUAUUUUCCUGUAAAGAGAGUUUUUACUGAGGUUUCAUAGUGCUUAUUCUUUUGAAACAGGACACAAAGAUGAAGGAAAAGGUGGUAUCUUUUCAAACUUUCUUUCACAAUUAGAGUAUAUCCUUAAUGCUUAAACCUAAUUAAACUCAGAACAACUAAUUCCAGGUUAGUAAAAAAAACCCAUCUUUGACAAAAGGUGAUCUGAUAGGGCAAAAUUAUUAUUUCAGUGCAUGAUCUGGGACAUGCUGAAAAUGAAACAUUAGCAGCAUAUGUUCAUGGAAGGAAAAUAAAAAGAUGGCAUAUUAACAAAUACAGUUUUGCCUCCUGGCUUUCAUGAAGUCACAUCAAGUUCAUUAUAUAUAAAAACUUAAAUACAUCAAAAUAAAAAUUUGUAUGUAUCAACUCAUCAGACCGACACAACAAUGCCUCAGCCUAUAAAUAACACUCCCUGACCCAGGCAGUUGUGGCUAAAUAAACAUUAUUCCUGUUCCCAAAGGAAAAGCUCCAGCUCUGGAUGAUCUGCAGGGUGACUGGGGCCAGUCUCCUGACAGAAUUCCUGAGUGCUCACUGGCAGCACUCACCCUGCCACACCCCACCAGGUGAGCACAGAGUGAGGGUGAACAGGGGGUGAAGUACAAAUACUGCAAGAAAAGCAAGAACUGCCAGAAUAACACUGCUGUUGAGAACAGGAAGACAUCUCUAAGGUUACUUUUAAUCAAAAUUAAAACCAGUAACUGGUGUAAUUUAUCUGGACACAUGUUCAGUGGUGCCAUAUUUCAGUCCCAACAUACCUUUCUUCCACAGAAAAGUGCUUUUCUAAUAUCCAGAAAGACCAUUCUGUCUCCAAAGAGACCAUUAGGAUCAGUUUUCCAUUCUAAACAGAAAUUCCUAUCUUUUCAAACAGCUCCAGCUCCUCCA